CGGUGUGUGGCGCAGCUUGGUAGCGCACUGUCAUGGGGUGUCAGGGGUCGGAGGUUCAAAUCCUCUCACACCGACCA
rnacentral:tRNA from 28 species